CUACCCGGGUAUCUAAUCCUGUUCGCUACCCAUGCUCUCGCUCCUCAGCGUCAGUAACUGCCCAGAGACCUGCCUUCGCCAUCGGUGUUCCUCCUGAUAUCUGCGCAUUUCACCGCUACACCAGGAAUUCCAGUCUCCCCUACAGCACUCAAGCAAUGCCCGUAUCGCCUGCCAACCAAAAGUUAAGCCCCUGGAUUACACAGACGACGCAACACACCACCUACGAGCCCUUUACGCCCAGUAAAUCCGGACAACGCUCGCACCCUACGUAUUACCGCGGCUGCUGGCAC
rnacentral:rRNA from 1 species